GAUGAACGCUGGCGGCGUGCCUAAUACAUGCAAGUCGAGCGAACAGACGAGGAGCUUUCUCCUCUGACGUUAGCGGCGGACGGGUGAGUAACACGUUGAUAACCUACCUAUAAGACUGGGAUAACUUCGGGAAACCGGAGCUAAUACCGGCUCAUAUAUUGAACCGCAUGGUUCAAUAGUGAAAGACGGUUUUGCUGUCACUUUUAGAUGGAUCCGCGCCGCAUUAGCUAGUUGGUAAGGUAACGGCUUACCAAGGCAACGAUGCGUAGCCGACCUGAGAGGGUGAUCGGCCACACUGGAACUGAGACACGGUCCAGACACCUACGGGAGGCAGCAGUAGGGAAUCUUCCGCAAUGGGCGAAAGCUUGACGGAGCAACGCCGCGUGAGUGAUGAAGGUCUUCGGAUCGUAAAACUCUGUUAUUAGGGAAGAACAAAUGUGUAAGUAACUAUGCACGUCUUGACGGUACCUAAUCAGAAAGCCACGGCUAACUACGUG
rnacentral:rRNA from 1 species